AGUGAACGCUGGCGGUAGGCCUAACACAUGCAAGUCGAACGGCAGCACAGUAAGAGCUUGCUCUUACGGGUGGCGAGUGUCGGACGGGUGAGGAAUACAUCGGCAUCUACUUUUUCGUGGGGGAUAACGUAGGGAAACUUACGCUAAUACCGCAUACGACCUACGGGUGAAAGCAGGGGAUCUUCGGACCUUGCGCGAUUGAAUGAGACGAUGUCGGCUUAGAUAGUUGGGGGGGUAAAGGCCCACCAAGGCGACGAUCCGUAGCUGGUCUGAGAGGAUGAUCAGACACACUGGAACUGAGACACGGUCCAGACUCCUACGGGAGGAAGCAGUGGGGAAUAUUGGACAAUGGGCGCAAGCCUGAUCCAGCCAUACCGCGUGGGUGAAGAAGGCCUUCGGGUUGUAAAGCCCUUUUGUUGGGAAAGAAAAGCAGCAGGUUAAUACCCCGCUGUUCUGACGGUACCCAAAGAAUAAGCACCGGCUAACUUCGUG
rnacentral:rRNA from 1 species